rnacentral:rRNA from 1 species
GACGAACGCUGGCGGCGUGCUUAACACAUGCAAGUCGAACGAAGUGGCGAACGGGUGAGUAACGCGUAAUCAACCUGCCCUUCAGAGGGGGCCACCAGUUGGAAACGACUGCUAAUCCCGCAUACUGAAGGACGGGAUGGCGUCUGAUUCGCUAGUUGGAGGGGUAACGGCCCACCAAGGCGAUGAUCAGUAGCCGGUCGGAGAGGAGGAACGGCCACAUUGGGACGGAGACACGGCCCAGACUCCUACGGGAGGCAACAGUGGGGAAGCUUCCGCAAUGGACGAAAGUCUGACGGAGCAACGCCGCGUGAGUGAUGACGGCCUUCGGGUUGUAAAGCUCUGUUAAUCGGGACGCGGUACCGGAAUAGAAAGCCACGGCUAACUACGUGCCAGCAGCCGCGGUAAUUC